rnacentral:rRNA from 1 species
GAUGAACGCUGGCGGCGUGCCUAAUACAUGCAAGUCGAGCGAACGGACGAGAAGCUUGCUUUUCUGAUGUUAGCGGCGGGCGGGUGAGUAACACGUGGAUAACCUACCUAUAAGACUGGGAUAACUUCGGGAAACCGGAGCUAAUACCGGCUAAUAUUUUGAACCGCAUGGUUCAAAAGUGAAAGACGGUCUUGCUGUCACUUAUAGAUGGAUCCGCGCUGCAUUAGCUAGUUGGUAAGGUAACGGCUUACCAAGGCAACGAUGCAUAGCCGACCUGAGAGGGUGAUCGGCAACACUGGAACUGAGACACGGUCCAGACUCCUACGGGAGGCAGCAGUAGGGAAUCUUCCGCAAUGGGGGAAAGCACGACGGAGCAACGCCGCGUGAGUGAAGAAGGUCUUCGGAUCGUAAAACUCUGUUAUUAGGGAAGAAAAUAUGUGGAAGAAAAUGUGCACAUCUUGACGGUACCUAAUCAGAAAGCAACGGCUAACUACGUG